rnacentral:sRNA from 1 species
GCACGUUUGGUGGCUGGAGUUCUAAAUC